rnacentral:rRNA from 1 species
AUUGAACGCUGGCGGAAUGCUUUACACAUGCAAGUCGAACGGCAGCACGGACUUCGGUCUGGUGGCGAGUGGCGAACGGGUGAGUAAUGUAUCGGAACGUGCCCAGUCGUGGGGGAUAACGUAGUGAAAAUUACGCUAAUACCGCAUACGAUCGAUGGAUGAAAGCGGGGGAUCGCAAGACCUCGCGCGAUUGGAGCGGCCGAUAUCAGAUUAGGUAGUUGGUGGAGUGAAGGCCCACCAAGCCAACGAUCUGUAGCUGGUCUGAGAGGACGACCAGCCACACUGGAACUGAGACACGGUCCAGACUCCUACGGGAGGCAGCAGUGGGGAAUUUUGGACAAUGGGCGAAAGCCUGAUCCAGCCAUUCCGCGUGCAGGAUGAAGGCCCUCGGGUUGUAAACUGCUUUUGUACAGAACGAAAAGGUUUCUACUAAUACUAGGAGCUCAUGACGGUACUGUAAGAAUAAGCACCGGCUAACUACGUGCCAGCCGCCGCCGUAAAAC